GAUACGCAGGAAAAAGGAAUUCCGAGCCGAUGCUCGGGCUGUCAUUUCGCUGAUGGAGAUGGGCUUUGAUGAGAAGGAAGUGAUUGAUGCCCUCCGAGUGAACAACAACCAGCAGAACGCAGCUCAUUUGAAGACAUGCUGGAGAACCCACUUAACAGCACCCAGUGGAUGAACGACCCAGAGACGGGCCCGGUCAUGCUGCAGAUCUCGAGAAUCUUCCAGACACUGAAUCGCACGUAGGUGGUGCCUACUGUGCUCCUUGGCUGUGCAGUCUCAGCAGUCUGUGAGGCGGUGGGCGCAGGGCCCAGCCAGGAUCUUGCCUGGAUCACAGCUUCAGUGACUCUCCUUUCCUGACCUAACGGCUUGUCAUCUUCUGCCACAUGGUUUGAAAGUUGCAGUCCCAGCUUCUGACAGGUGUUUACAGAGAGUGGCUAUUGCACUGGGAAGGUGGUGUUUGCUGCCCCGUCCCCUCCAGACACUCUGCUGGGCUCCUGAAGUGCUACUUGAAUUGACCCUUAGGUGUUUGCUUGUGUAGCCCAAUGUAUUUUAAAGAAGGCAUGUUCUGAUCCAAAGUGUUAUGUCAAGUGUGCUAAUUUAACUAGACUGACUCACAGAUGGCUUCUUUAAUAAAUAAACCCUUUUCCUA
rnacentral:lncRNA from 1 species